rnacentral:rRNA from 1 species
CCUACGGGCGGCAGCAGUGAGGAAUAUUGGUCAAUGGCCGGAAGGCUGAACCAGCCAUGCCGCGUGAAGGUCAGUGCCCUAUGGGCGUUAAACUUCUUUUGUGCGGGAGCAAUAAUGGUCACGUGUGGCCAGACGAGAGUACCGUACGAAUAAGCAUCGGCUAACUCCGUGCCAGCAGCCGCGGUAAUACGGGGGAUGCAAGCGUUAUCCGGAUUUAUUGGGUUUAAAGGGUGCGUAGGCUGUGAGGUAAGUCAGCGGUGAAAUGCCCCCGCUCAACGGGGUGAAGUGCCAUUGAUACUGCCUGGCUGGAAUGCGGAUGCCGUGGGAGGAAUGUGUGGUGUAGCGGUGAAAUGCAUAGAUAUCACACAGAACACCGAUUGUGAAGGCAUCUCACGAAUCCGCGAUUGACGCUGAUGCACGAAAGCGUGGGUAUCAAACAGGAUUAGAUACCCGAGUAGUC